UCUUGGAACUCGUUUUGUUUUCAAACUGGCAAUGAACAAGUCAAAUAAAACUAAUAUGUGCUCUGGAACAGAUGCAUCCCGUCUGCUAACAACCCCAACCAUGCCUCAGCCGAUAUGCCAUCUUUUAGGAACCUAACUACAUGAAAGAUGGGUCUUCUUUUGUUUUCAAUCAUAAAACAUUCUGACUGGUGGACUUGUCCAAGUAGUCGAAAGAGCAAGCCAGUGCUUGUCCCUUUUCAAGGAAUGUAGGGUCUGGAUUUUGAG
rnacentral:lncRNA from 1 species